CAGGCCUAACACAUGCAAGUCGAACGGCAGCGGGGGAGCUUGCUCCCGCCGGCGAGUGGCAAACGGGUGAGUAAUACAUCGGAACGUGCCCAGUAGUGGGGGAUAGCCCGGCGAAAGCCGGAUUAAUACCGCAUACGACCUACGGGUGAAAGCGGGGGACCGUAAGGCCUCGCGCUAUUGGAGCGGCCGAUGGCUGAUUAGCUAGUUGGUGGGGUAAAAGCCUACCAAGGCGACGAUCAGUAGCUGGUCUGAGAGGACGACCAGCCACACUGGGACUGAGACACGGCCCAGACUCCUACGGGAGGCAGCAGUGGGGAAUUUCGGACAAUGGGCGAAAGCCUGAUCCAGCAAUGCCGCGUGUGCGAAGAAGGCCUUCGGGUUGUAAAGCACUUUUGUCAGGGAAGAAAUUGCCUGGGUUAAUACCUCGGGUCGUUGACGGUACCUGAAGAAUAAGCACCGGCUAACUACGUGCCAGCAGCCGCGGUAAUACGUAGGGUGCAAGCGUUAAUCGGAAUUACUGGGCGUAAAGCGUGCGCAGGUGGUUCGUUAAGACAGUUGUGAAAUCCCCGGGCUUAACCUGGGAACUGCAAUUGUGACUGGCGGACUAGAGUUUGGCAGAGGGGGGUGGAAUUCCUGGUGUAGCAGUGAAAUGCGUAGAUAUCAGGAGGAACACCGAUGGCGAAGGCAGCCCCCUGGGCCACGACUGACAUUCAUGCACGAAAGCGUGGGGAGCAAACAGGAUUAGAUACCCUGUAGUCCACGCCCUAAACGAUGUCUACUAGUUGUUGGGUCUUCAUUGA
rnacentral:rRNA from 1 species